CCCGCUGAAUUUAACCAUAUAACCAAGCGGAGGAAAAGAAACAACAUGGAUUGCUCUAGUAACGGCGAGUGAAUGGGCAAAAGCCCAGCGCUGAUUCUGUUGGCCACUGGUCGCCUGGAAUUGCAGCGGAUAGGUGAGCCUGUCCGUUCGUUCCACGCACCCAAAGUCCCCUUGAGUGGGUCUAUAGUCCAAAGAAGGUGCUACAUCUGUACGGGUGGCGAGACGAUCGGUUGGUUGCUCCUUGGACUCGGGUUGCCUGGGAUCGCUGCCCAAAGUUGGUGGUAGACCUCAUCUAAGAUUUUGACUUCCUCGACGAGGGCAAAGCCGACGGUAACUGUUGGGCAUUUGAUCGGUGUAUUUGCGGCUGGUAUAUGCCGAGAGCUUUGCAGUCGCAUGUUGACAAUCGUGCAGUGGACCAUUCUUUCCGGGCGUGGAACCUUUCGUGCUUUGAGACAUGUCGGCUGUAAGGUUUUGGACGUGGCUUCUCCGCUAUGGUGCGUCAGGUUUUUCGAGCUGUUGUGGCUGCAGGAUGGUCGCGUCCGACUGUCUAUAGUCGUCGAUGGCGCGACAAGAGUGUGGACGCGGCGAGAAGUGCAUCUCGGUGUGAACGUCGACCACCUAUCCGACCCAUCUUGAAACACGGGUCAAGGAGCCUAGCAUAUGCGCGAGUCAUUGGGUGAUAAACCUAAAGGCGUAAUGAAAGUGAAAGUCGCCUCGACGCGACCAGUAUGGGAUCCAUGCGGUUUCUGUGGCCGCACUGCGCACCAUAGCCCCGUUCCCGUUGCUUGCAGUAAGGCGAAGGUAGAGCGCAUACGCUGGGACCCGAAAGAUGGUGAACUAUGCCUGAGCAGGAUGAAGCCAGAGGAAAUUCUGGUGGAAGUCCGAAGCGGUUCUGACGUGCAAAUCGAUCGUCUGACUUGGUUACAGUGGCGGAAGACUAAUCGAACCAUCUAGUAGCUGGUUUUCUCCGAAGUUUCCCCCAGGAUAGCUGGAGUUCGUGUGGUGCAGUUAUAUUCGGUAAGGUGGAUGAUUAGAGGAAUUGGGAACGAAACGACCUCAACCUUCUCAAACUUCCAAAGGGUAUGAAGUCCCGCUUGCUUAACGUUGCUGAAGCGUAGGCAUUGAAUGAGAGCUCCAAGUGGGCCAUUUUUGGUAAGCAGAAAUGGCGCUGUGGGAUGAACCAGACGUCGGGUUAAAGUGCCAAACUUGCCGCUCAUGAGACCCCAUGAAGGCAUUGGUUGAUAUAGACAGCAGGAAGGUGGCCAUGGAAGUCGGAACCCGCUAAGGGGUGUGUAACAGCUCACCUGCCGAAUCAACUAGCCCUGAAAAUGGAUGGCACUUGAGCGGGAGACUUAUGCCCGACCGUUGUUUGGCUUGUGUGUUUUUCGUACGAGAGAUUCGCCUGGCCGCAACGAGUAAGACGGUCGCAAUGGUCUGCGUUGAAGGCCUUGGGCGUAGGCCCGACUGGAGCUUCCACUGUGCAGAUUUUGGUGGUAGCAGCAAAUAUUUAAGUGAGAUCCUUGAAGACUGAAGUGGAGAAGAGUUCCACGUGAACAGCAGCUGAAUUUGGGUCAGUCGGCCCUAAGAAACUGGCUAAUGCCAUCUGUUAACGAGAGACGGAGUUCAAAUCCAUCUCGUCUAUCGAAAGGGAUACGGGUUAAUAUUCCCGUACCUGGACAUGGUGAUAAGCGCUCAUUGCGAGUGUUUAACGCGGCAACGCAAACGAACUCGAUAACGCUGAAUACAGCCCGAGCUAGAGUUCUCUUUUCUAGUUAAGGAACGAAUUCCCUGAAAUCGAUUCAGCCGAGAUAGGGAUGUUGUUUCCGUAAAGCGCCACGGUUCGUGUGGUGUCUCGUGCGCUCUAUUCGGCCCUUGGAAAACCGAGGGAGGCUAUUUGAAUUUCGUGCCAGGGCGUACCAAUAUCCGCAGCAGAUCUUCACGGGAACAGCCUCUGGUC
rnacentral:ncRNA from 1 species